AAGUCGUAACAAGGUUUCCGUAGGUGAACCUGCGGAAGGAUCAUUAACAAAUGUGGGAUGUGUGUGUGAGUAGGGGUCCUGAUGGUCUUGGCUGAUGGUUUUUGAGAUGUCGUGUCAUUGAUGUUUUUGAGAUGAUGCCUUGUCAUUGACUGAUGCCUUGAUUGUUGCCCUGAAAACACCAAAAACCUUUUAGCUCCGUCGAUACGGUCGAUGAUCGUGUCGAGGUUGCACACACUUGCGCUUUUCAAGUUUGACAAAAUCUAGACAAUACAUUUAUGGACAACUUUUAACAACGGAUCU
rnacentral:misc_RNA from 1 species